GCUGUGGGCGACUUCCACGGAGAAAUUCGUGCAAGUCGAGUUUGCCUUGCAAUUAGUUCUGGUGCGCUUGCGAUUGACACUUAAAGACACGCGGAUUUUUUGGAUAGUUUAUACAAGUUGGAACUCCGAAAAGUUGACAGGCGGUAUUGUACAACUGGAAGUGCCGUGAUGCCUUUCAAGUCAGUCGACGUCGUUACCUUGACGAAGUUGGUCAGCUGCGAGGCGACAAGUUGGUGGAACUCACCCGGACUCAAAGACCCUUCGUUGCCCGGGUACGCCUUGAACCACUCGAUCAAGGUCAAGACGGCGGCUUCCGUGCGAGCUUCACCCGCGGAAAAACGGAAGCGACGGAAGCGCUCGAGAGCCAUCGAAUUAUAAAAGCUGGGUUGGCUCCAGCACUCCCGUGACCCCUGUGAGGAUAAGUGGCUAAGAAAAUGGAUGGCUGCUUCCCUUCAAACCUUUUUGCGAGUCAAAUGUGAUAUCGUACAACUGGAAGUACCACGAUGCCAGUCGACAUCGAUACCUUGACGAAGUUGGGCAGCUGCAAGGAGACCAGUCGGUGGAACUCGUCCCGACUCAGCGUGCUGGCGGACCCGUCGU